rnacentral:misc_RNA from 1 species
UAUAUCAUUAGGGAAAAAGAUAGAAACUGAAGUAAGAGGAGCACCAAAGGAACAGACCUCGGUAGACUUUGUUGAGAUAUGAAGCCCUAGAUUGUUAAUCCUCCAUUUGUCGGAGAUUGAAAGGUGUAAAAGGGAAGACUUUUGCUUUGCCUUGGUUUUAGAAUUCACACACAACCCAUAAGAAUACAAAGCUUUCUUCUUGAACUUGAUGUACUUCUUCCCUUUUCUUCUCCAGAAAGAGAGAGCGGGGGAGGACGAGAGGCCGGG